UCUGUGGGGCUCCUAAGCUGGUUUACAGUAGCUGUGUCUGCUCUGCCCCUCCUCAUGCUGCCUUCCAGUUGUUCUCUGAGGGGAGCGAAGGAGUUAUCAGCCUUUUUCUGAAGCGGUCAUGGCGGGACUGAUGCUCGUUCCUUUCUUUUGCUCCCAUCUGUUUCUGGAAGGCUUCCGUCAGCCCCAAGGUAACGCUGGUCGGCUGGCUGAGCAUUGCAACUCUGGAAAUGCCGGGAGCUGGUGCACUUUUCCGCACAGGGAUUCUGUGUUCUCCAGGUUUCCUCUGCAGCUCUUGUUCAGCUCAGUACCUUCCCGUGAAGUCUCUGUUCCCUCUUUCAUGGUUCUCGUUGCGGAAUCUCCACCCUGGGACUCCAAACUGGACAGACGGAAGGCUUUCUGGGGCUGCUCUGGUUAGUGCUUUAAGCUCUGUGCAAUCCGUGGAGCAGACAGUGGAACACCAUGAAGCCCCUGUUUGUGCGUCGCUGGUAUGCAGCUCCCCUUUAGGUAUCGAAAGGCUGUUACCAGGUCCCCUCGGAGCCUUCGCUCCUCCGCGCUGAACAGCCCCAGCUCUCUCGGCCUGUCCUUGGAGGAGAGGGGUUUGAUCCUUUGGUUCUUUGUGUUUCGGGGCCGUCCUCUGAAUGUGCUCCAACGGGUCUGUGUCCCUUCUGCCCUGAGGACUCUUCAUAUGGACACAGCGCUCCAGGUGAGGCCUCUUCAGCACAGGGCAGAGGGGCAGGAUCACCUCUCCUCACCUGCUGACCGGAGCCUGUCUGGGUCCCUCU